CCUACGGGAGGCAGCAGUGAGGAAUAUUGGUCAAUGGCCGAGAGUCUGAACCAGCCAAGUCGCGUGAAGGAUGACUGCCCUACGGGUUGUAAACUUCUUUUAUAUGGGAAUAAAAUGUUCCACGUGUGGGAUUUUGUAUGUACCAUAUGAAUAAGCAUCGGCUAACUCCGUGCCAGCAGCCGCGGUAAUACGGAGGAUCCGAGCGUUAUCCGGAUUUAUUGGGUUUAAAGGGAGCGUAGGUGGAUUGUUAAGUCAGUUGUGAAAGUUUGCGGCUCAACCGUAAAAUUGCAGUUGAAACUGGAAGUCUUGAGUACAGUAGAGGUGGGCGGAAUUCGUGGUGUAGCGGUGAAAUGCUUAGAUAUCACGAAGAACUCCGAUUGCGAAGGCAGCUCACUGGACUGCAACUGACGCUGAGGCUCGAAAGUGUGGGUAUCAAACAGGAUUAGAUACCCUUGUAGUC
rnacentral:rRNA from 1 species